UUUUUUUUUUUUUUUGGUCUUUUUGCCAUUUCUUUGGGCCACUCCCACGGCAUAUGGAGGUUCCAAGACCAGGGGUCUAAUCGGAGCUGCAGCCACCGGCCUAUGCCAGGGCCACAGCAACGCGGGAUCCGAGCCGCAUCUGCAACCUACACCACAGCUCACGGCAACGCCGGAUCGUUAACCCACUGAGCAAGGGCAGGGACCGAACCCGCAACCUCAUGGUUCCUAGUCGGAUCUGUUAACCACUGAGCCACGACGGGAACUCCUCCACUAAACUUUUAUGGUGAAAUUUAACCUACUAUAAAAAUCAUACUCAUUGAGGAAAUGUUGGAAAAGACAGAAAAGUAUAAAAUUUUGGUAAAACUUUUUUCAACCAAAUUCUCAAAUCUCAUAAACAACCAAUGACAAUUAUUUAUACAUAUUUCAUACCCACCUAAGUCCAACAAAACAGAUAGAUAAACAGACAGACAGACAGAUAUAACUGUGAUAGGCACCCUUUUGACACAGGGAGUUCAGCAGUGAAUGCGACAUACAAGACCCUUGCCUUCAGUGUCUUUCUUGUAUAUGAGCUAUUAAGUAAUUUAAGGUUCCUCUUUCCAAUUCACUUUUCACCUGCUAGUACAAUCUAUUAGCUGAAAUUAAAUAAAUAGAUCAAGAGGCAAGAAUAAAAGCAACAAAAAUUCUAAUAGCACUAGAAAGUUCCCAUAAAAUACUUACACAGUAUUGUGACCCUUUCCUCACUUAUCACAUAAGGACUUUUCCAAGUCAUUUUCUUUGAGAACAUGAUAUUAAAUGUUUGUGUGGGAGUUCCCAUGGUGGCGCAUGGUUAACGAAUCCAACUAGGAACCAUGAGGUUGCGGGUUCAAUGUGGGUUAAGGAUCCAGCGUUGCCGUGAGCUGUGGUGUAGGUUGCAGACAUGGCUCGGAUCCCGCGUUGCUGAGGCUCUGGCAUGGGCAGGUGGCUACAGCUACGAUUCGACCCCUAACCUGGGAACCUCUAUAUGCCGCGGGAGUGGCCCUAGAAAAGGCAAAAAGACACCCCCCCCAAAAAAAAAGAUGGUGGAGGAGUAAGACAUGGCACUGACCUUCUUCCACAAACAUAUUAAAAGAAAAAAAACCCCAUUACAUGUAAACGAUUCGUACACAACCCAUACUGAAUGCUGGCAGAAGACCGUAAACCUCCAAAAAGAGCUAGAAUAUAUUCGUCAUAGAAAUACCAUACCCAUUAGCAAUAACUCCCCAUUUCCCUCCAACCUUCCCCCAAGCCUAGGCAACCACCAACCUACUUUCUGUCUCUAUAGAUUGGCCUCUUCUGGACAUUCUCCAGAAAUGGACUCAUAUACUAUGCAGCCUUUUCAUUUACUUAGCUGAUGUUUCUAAGAUUCGCUCAUGUUGGAACAUGUAUUAGUACUUCAUUCCAUUAUACAGAUACACCACAUGUUGUUUUACUGCUGAUCAAGUGAUAGACCUUUGGGCUGUUUCUUCUUUUCGGCAAGUGUAAAUAUUGUUACUACGAUCAUUCAUGUACAAGUAUUUUGUGGACCUAUGUUUUCCAUUUUCCUGUUUAUUUAUCUAGGACUGGCAUUUCUGGGUUAUAAGGCUGUUUUCCAAGUGGCUACAUCAUUAUACAUUCUUGCCAGCAAUGUAUGAGGGUUCAUAUUUCUCUGUGUCCUCCCAAUGCUGUUUUAUUAUCUGUGUUAUUGAUUACAGCCAUCCUGGUACAUGUGAAGUGGUAUCUCACUGUGGUUUUAUGUCUAUAAAUAUUUUGUAAAUGGUCCAUCAAUAAGUUCUUACCUCUCUAUUUCCACCCACAUCUCAGUCCACAAGUGAAAAUAACUAAAUUUUUCGUCCUGCCAUUAUUUAAGCUUUCAUUGUGUCUUACCAGAGCCACUGAUAAAAUCCUCUAUCUCCUGGCUAUUUAGUCUGUCUUCCCCUCCCAAUCCUUCCCCCACA
rnacentral:lncRNA from 1 species